rnacentral:rRNA from 1 species
CUGUCAGACUUGAGAGUGGUAGAGGAAAGCGGAAUUCUCGGUGUAAGGGUGAAAUCUGUGGAUAUCGAGAAGAACAUCAACGGCGAAGGCAGCUUUCUGGGCCAUUUCUGACACUGAAUUGCGAAAGCUAGGGUAGCAAACAGAAUUAGAUACUCUGGUAGUCCUAGCUGUAAACGAUGAGCACUAGGUGUUGGCCCCCUACGGGGUCGGUGCCGCAGCUAACGCAUUAAGUGCUCCACCUGGGGGCUACGGCCGCAAGGCUAAAACUCAAAGGAAUUGACGGGGACCCGCACAAGCGGUGGAACAUGUGGUUUAAUUCGAUGCUACGCGAAAAACCUCACCAGGGUUUGACACGUAAGAAGUAGUGAACUGAAAGGGAAUCGACCUGUCAAGUCAGGAACUUACACAGGUGCUGCAUGGCUGUCGUCAGCUCGUGUCGUGAGAUGUUGGGUUAAGUCCCGCAACGAGCGCAACCAUUAUCUUUAGUUGCUAAUUUUGUUACCACUUGUGGAAGCAGAAAGCACUUUAAAGAGACUGCCUGGGUUAACCAGGAGGAAGGCGGAGAUGACGUCAAGUCAGUACGGCCUUUAUGCCCUGGGCUACACACGUGUUACAAUGGUCGGCACAAAGGGUUGCCAACCCGCGAGGGGGAGCUAAUCUCAAAAAGUCGGCCCCAGUUCGGAUUGGAGUCUGAAAUUCGACUCCAUGAAGCCGGAAUCGCUAGUAAUGGUAGAUCAGCACGCUACCGUGAAUACGUUCCCGGGUCUUGUACACACCGCCCGUCAAGCGAUGGAAGUUGGUAGUACCCGAAGUCCUAUGUAGAUAGGCCGAAGGUAAGAUCGGCGACUGGCGCUAAGUCGUAACAAGGUAACC